GUGGGGAAUAUUGGGCAAUGGGCGCAAGCCUGACCCAGCAACGCCGCGUGAAGGAAGAAGGCUUUCGGGUUGUAAACUUCUUUGACCAGGGACGAAAAAAAUGACGGUACCUGGAAAACAAGCCACGGCUAACUACGUGCCAGCAGCCGCGGUAAUACGUAGGUGGCAAGCGUUGUCCGGAUUUACUGGGUGUAAAGGGCGUGUAGGCGGGAUCGCAAGUCAGAUGUGAAAUGCGGAGGCUUAACCUCCGAGCUGCAUUUGAAACUGCGGUUCUUGAGUGAUGGAGAGGCAGGCGGAAUUCCUAGUGUAGCGGUGAAAUGCGUAGAUAUUAGGAGGAACACCAGUGGCGAAGGCGGCCUGCUGGACAUUAACUGACGCUGAGGCGCGAAAGCGUGGGGAGCAAACAGGAUUAGAAACCCCUGUAGUCC
rnacentral:rRNA from 1 species